UCCCCAUCUACUACACUUGGAUGCACAAU
rnacentral:piRNA from 1 species